AGAAAACGGUGAAAGGAUUUGCAAGGCCGCUUCUUGAUUUAAGUAAAAAAUCAUUUGCGAAAGUUAUGGAUGAUGCAUUCGGACGAAAAUUUGUGCCACCAUUUGAUCCUUAUGCCAAUUCUUACAAUUACCUCAUUGCUUCAUAUUUGGUCCCUUAUGUUGGUCUCACCGGCUACGUUGGCGCAAACCCGAAACUGCAUUGUCCCGCGUCAAGGAAGGUAACAAAACUAAACUACUCUCUUCUAGCGGUAAAUAUAAUCUCAUCUUCAAACCAGAAAUUUUGGGUUUCUAUGUAAAUUUUUUUUUAUUGCGAAAAGAUGAAAUUUCAGUUUCUAACAUCAUGCAUUACGUUUCAUCACAUCAAUAUAGAUAGUUUUGAAUUUCAUUAAUUUGUGUAGGUAAUAACGCUGGUAAAGUCUUUUUCACAAAGCAUAAAGCUCGUAAAAUUUCAUUGAUGUCUAAAGUCUCAUGAAAUGAUUUUUUUUUUUAUAAUAUUUUAUAUAUUCAAAAUCUUCAAUUGGAAAGAAAUGAGCACCAUGGUUACAAGUAGUGAUGAGUUUUUUAUUUUAUCAAUUAUUUUCAGAUGAAAAUUUUGAAAACUUUCGCAUUAUAUAUAUAUAUAUAUAUAUAUAUAUAUAUUAUAUGUUAAUUACUCAAACAUUGUACAGUUAGUAGCCGGACUUUUGGGAGUAGAAUCAGGCCAGGACGCGGUGAUAAGAACAAUGUUAUAUGCAAGGGCUAAACACAUAGUCCAUCCUUAUGGUGUCUCGGUUGCAGCUUUCACGGAUAGGAUAUCUGAUCUAAGGAACAAAUUGGGAAAAAGGGGUGUGAAAGACGAGGGGUUGGUUGUGCAUAAAGCCAUGGGUGCUGAGGAAAAUGUGGCUGGGAAUGUAUUAGUUGGGGAUAAGAUGUCGCUUGCGUUUGAUCGCACUCCGGAGGAAAUUCUACGGAUUGUGUAUGGAACUGGAAAUGAGAGUAUCCCCGGUGGAUUUUACCCUAAAGGAGCCGAUGGAGAAAUUGCUAAAUCUUAUUUAGAUUAAUAAUUGUGUUGUUGGAAAUGAGGUUUAGCUUUAGCUGGAGUUUAAUUUCCCACUGUUGUUGUGAUCAUGUGUGAUUCUUGUCAAUCAAUAUUUAACUAAUUAUAGGUGUUAGGCAGGUAAAAUGUUUUUUUUUCUUCUAAUAAUAUAUAUAAGUAAAAAUUAAAAAUAUCACAGGGCCAUCAAGAAAACGGUGAAAGGAUUUGCAAGGCCGCUUCUUGAUUUAAGUAAAAAAUCAUUUGCGAAAGUUAUGGAUGAUGCAUUCGGACGAAAAUUUGUGCCACCAUUUGAUCCUUAUGCCAAUUCUUACAAUUACCUCAUUGCUUCAUAUUUGGUCCCUUAUGUUGGUCUCACCGGCUACGUUGGCGCAAACCCGAAACUGCAUUGUCCCGCGUCAAGGAAGGUAACAAAACUAAACUACUCUCUUCUAGCGGUAAAUAUAAUCUCAUCUUCAAACCAGAAAUUUUGGGUUUCUAUGUAAAUUUUUUUUUAUUGCGAAAAGAUGAAAUUUCAGUUUCUAACAUCAUGCAUUACGUUUCAUCACAUCAAUAUAGAUAGUUUUGAAUUUCAUUAAUUUGUGUAGGUAAUAACGCUGGUAAAGUCUUUUUCACAAAGCAUAAAGCUCGUAAAAUUUCAUUGAUGUCUAAAGUCUCAUGAAAUGAUUUUUUUUUAUAUAAUAUUUUAUAUAUUCAAAAUCUUCAAUUGGAAAGAAGUGAGUGAUGUAAACACCAUGGUUACAAGUAGUGA
rnacentral:lncRNA from 1 species